CUGCAACGGAUUUCUUGGAUCCAUGUCCAUGCGAACCCAAAAGUAGAGUGUAUCCCCAUGCCUUCGUGUUUGAAUAGCAUCUAAUAAUGCCUUUUCAGCAGUCCGAGAUAAAGAUGCCUUCCUUGCUGUUGCCCUCCAAGAUUGAAACCCUACCCAAGCAUUCUUGUGAAUACGGUCAAUUCGAUUUGCAAUUGCAAAAAAAGCUCCAUAUUCACCAAGGGUAUCCCUAUAAUAUGGAUUAUUAAGAAGUGGUAGACGAGAGGGUCCAUCAACAUCAUCAGUCCUAGGUCUUCUACCUUUUGUGGACAACCCUAUUCCACGAUACAGUGAACUAAGGUGA
rnacentral:misc_RNA from 1 species